rnacentral:rRNA from 1 species
UACAGAGGUCCCAAGCGUUGUCCGGAAUUAUUGGGCGUAAAGAGCUCGUAGGCGGUUUGUCGCGUCUGCUGUGAAAACUCGGGGCUUAACUCCGGGCCUGCAGUGGGUACGGGCAGACUAGAGUGCGGUAGGGGAGACUGGAAUUCCUGGUGUAGCGGUGAAAUGCGCAGAUAUCAGGAGGAACACCGGUGGCGAAGGCGGGUCUCUGGGCCGUAACUGACGCUGAGGAGCGAAAGCGUGGGGAGCGAACAGG